CUACGGGGCGCACCAGUGGGGAAUAUUGCACAAUGGGCGCAAGCCUGAUGCAGCAACGCCGCGUGGGGGACGAAGGCCUUCGGGUUGUAAACCUCUUUUAGUAGGGAAGAAGCGCAAGUGACGGUACCUACAGAAAAAGCACCGGCUAACUACGUGCCAGCAGCCGCGGUAAUACGUAGGGUGCAAGCGUUGUCCGGAAUUAUUGGGCGUAAAGAGCUCGUAGGCGGUUUGUCGCGUCUGCUGUGAAAAUCCGAGGCUCAACCUCGGACCUGCAGUGGGUACGGGCAAACUAGAGUGCGGUAGGGGAGAUUGGAAUUCCUGGUGUAGCGGUGGAAUGCGCAGAUAUCAGGAGGAACACCAAUGGCGAAGGCAGAUCUCUGGGCCGUAACUGACGCUGAGGAGCGAAAGCGUGGGGAGCGAACAGGAUUAGAUACCCUAGUAGUC
rnacentral:rRNA from 1 species